rnacentral:rRNA from 1 species
AGCGAACGCUGGCGGCAGGCCUAACACAUGCAAGUCGAACGAACUCUUCGGAGUUAGUGGCGGACGGGUGAGUAACACGUGGGAACGUGCCUUUUGGUUCGGAAUAACUCAGGGAAACUUGUGCUAAUACCGAAUGUGCCCUUCGGGGGAAAGAUUUAUCGCCAUUAGAGCGGCCCGCGUCUGAUUAGCUAGUUGGUGAGGUAACGGCUCACCAAGGCGGCGAUCAGUAGCUGGUCUGAGAGGAUGACCAGCCACACUGGGACUGAGACACGGCCCAGACUCCUACGGGAGGAAGCAGUGGGGAAUCUUGCGCAAUGGGCGAAAGCCUGACGCAGCCAUGCCGCGUGAAUGAUGAAGGUCUUAGGAUUGUAAAAUUCUUUCACCGGGGACGAUAAUGACGGUACCCGGAGAAGAAGCCCCGGCUAACUUCGUG